GUAGGAUGCAAGCGUUGUUCAGAAUUACUGGGCGUAAAGAGUACGUAGGCGRUUUGGUAAGUCUGAUAUUAAAGACCGGAGCUCAACUUCGGGACUGUAUCGGAAACUGUCAGACUAGAGGACAAUAGAGGAAGUCGGAAUUCUCAGUGUAGCGGUGAAAUUCGUAGAUAUUGGGAAGAACACCAGUGGCGAAAGCGGACUUCUGGGUUGUUACUGACGCUGAGGUACGAAAGCGUGGGGAGCAAACGGGAUUAGAUACCCCGGUAGUCCACGCGGUAAACGAUGGAUACUAGAUGUAGCCGGUCUCGACCCCGGCUGUGUCGUAGCUAACGCAAUAAGUAUCCCGCCUGGGGAGUAUGGCCGCAAGG
rnacentral:rRNA from 1 species